rnacentral:rRNA from 1 species
UGGGGGAUAACGCAUCGAAAGAUGCGCUAAUACCGCAUAAUCUCUAAGGAGAAAAGCAGGGGAUCGCAAGACCUUGCGCUUUUGGAGCGGCCGAUGUCUGAUUAGCUAGUUGGUGAGGUAAAGGCUUACCAAGGCUUCGAUCAGUAGCUGGUCUGAGAGGACGACCAGCCACACUGGGAYUGAGACACGGCCCAGACUCCUACGGGAGGCAGCAGUGGGGAAUUUUGGACAAUGGGGGCAACCCUGAUCCAGCCAUGCCGCGUGAGUGAAGAAGGCCUUCGGGUUGUAAAGCUCUUUCAGCCGGAACGAAAAGGUUACGGUUAAUACCCGUGACUAAUGACGGUACCGGAAGAAGAAGCACCGGCUAACUACGUGCCAGCAGCCGCGGUAAUACGUAGGGUGCGAGCGNUUAAUCGGAAUUACUGGGGCGUAAAGCGUGCGCAGGCGUUUUUGUAAGUCAGAUGUGAAAUCCCCCGGGCUUAACCUGGGAACUGCGUUUGAAACUACAAGGCUAGCAKUGUGGUUCAGAGGGGGGUGGAAUUCCACGUGCUAGCAGUGAAAUGCGUAGAAGAUGUGGAGGAACACCGAUGGCGAAGGCAGCCCCCUGGGUUAACACUGACGCUCAGGCACGAAAGCGUGGGGAGCAAACAGGAUUAGAUACCCUGGUAGUCCACGCCCUAAACGAUGUCAACUAGUUGUCGGGUCUUAACGGGCUUGGUAACGCAGCUAACGCGUGAAGUUGACCGCCUGGGGAGUACGGUCGCAAGAUUAAAACUCAAAGGAAUUGACGGGGACCCGCACAAGCGGUGGAUUAUGUGGAUUAAUUCGAUGCAACGCGAAAAACCUUACCUACCCUUGACAUGUACCGAAGCCCGCCGAGAGGUGGGCGUGCCCGAAAGGGAACGGUAACACAGGUGCUGCAUGGCUGUCGUCAGCUCGUGUCGUGAGAUGUUGGGUUAAGUCCCGCAACGAGCGCAACCCUUGUCAUUAAUUGCCAUCAUUCAGUUGGGCACUUUAAUGAAACUGCCGGUGACAAACCGGAGGAAGGUGGGGAUGACGUCAAGUCCUCAUGGCCCUUAUGGGUAGGGCUUCACACGUAAUACAAUGGCGCGUACAGAGGGUUGCCAACCCGCGAGGGGGAGCUAAUCUCAGAAAGCGCGUCGUAGUCCGGAUCGGAGUCU